GGCGCAUGCGCGGCACCGGGCGACGCCGCGGCGGUGGCGUUGCCGCGCUUGGGGUGGCGGGUGGCUCCGCGGCGGCGGGAGCCCUCCCGCUCCGGGCCGCGACGGGGGCUCUACCGCCGCGGGUCGGCCCUGGGGGGCGGGAGUUGGAGUAGGGCCUGGGUUUCGUACGUAACGCAGCGGCUCGGGGCGGGCGCGCUGGUUCUCCCAGGGGCCGCAGGUGUAGUAACUCCUUUAUUAGGGAAGACAGAUCAAAAAUCACCAGUCUAGUGCGGCCUCUGUUUCUGCCCCGGUUUUGAAAUGAAGCAUUAAGGUCGGUUUUAGUAAAAAGCUGUUCUAGAAGUUGAAUUCGCUGUUGGCUUGGCGCUUGAGUUGCACUCUCAGGGUCAUUUUUUGCAGCCUGGAGAAGUAUCAACCCAUCCCAUUGGAAAAAAAUACAGAAAUAUUUUCUUGACCGCGUCACACGGAUCUAGGAGCUAAGUUUGGAACCGAAGGGGGAGAGACCCACGGCAAAGGGGAGCGAUGUGGGGCCGUAGCCUUGCUCUGAGGAAACCACUGCCGGUGCCCGUGCCAACGCGGCACUGCCAGCCAGCAGCAGACCAGCCAGCUCCCCAAAUUUCAUGAGAGUUUUGAAAGGCUGAGGGGACAAUCUGCUUUGGGGGGGUUUCUGCCAAGCAUCUUUGUAAGCAGAACAGGGGUGUCUUAUAGUGUCAAUGUUUUUAGGUACUCGUGUGACUUCAAGAGUUUGAGGAUUCAAAAAAAAAAAUAACAGUAGCAUGAAAACUUGCCACAGGAUUGUAAAAGCCAUUAAUGAAAGGCUCUGCAACCUCUUCACCCUCCUGGAGAGAUUUGUCUGCCUAUGCCCAAGACCAGUGGUGAUGUAGUGCCCUGUGACCUUGGAUCAGACUCUAGGGAAACAGCUGGGUGAGAAGACACUGGGAGAAGCCUCGCUGGGGUCCUCUGCCCUUUGGCUCAGGAUCUGCAUUUAAGCUCAGGCCCUCACCUGUGGUCCGCACCUGAACUACACUGUGUGCUGUACAUCUCUGAUCCUGACCCACUGACUUGACUUCCUCGCUUGACCAUGGACCUGCCUCAUCACUAUAUCCUUGGCUGGCAAUCUUCAGACCACUUGCUAACCCUGGUUACCAUUAAGCUGCUCUCCUCUUGUUUGGGUGCUGUGGCACUGUGGCCUGUUGGUGAGGACACUGCCCUGCUUGCCUUGCUGUCACCAUCAGCUCCUGACUCACCUUCCCUUGUGAAGCAGCUCCCUCUUGCUGCUCCGUGGCACACUUAUUGGUCCCCUGGUCAUUCAGAUGAAUUUCAGCUGAAGUACACCUUUUAUUCUGAAACUGCUCUCCAUUCAGGAUGAAUUUGCAUUCUUCUUCCUUAUACCAUCCAAUCAAGGCAGUAAAACUCUGCCUUCCACCUCUUCCCAUGAUCCCAUGGGGUGCAGGAAGCAUUUUACAUAAUGCUAUCAUAGAAAUCUUGGUCUUCAGCUUCCUUCCCGUUUGCCUAAAUGCCCUUCCCUUUGUCAUUAGUGCUUAUGCGCACCACAACUAGUGGCCCCCUCCCAGCACUUCUUGGGACCCUACCCGGAUUCCUUAAGGGCAUUGCCACCCGGUAGUCACUGUGCAGGCCUCUGGGGUCACAAACCCAGACGUUUAUUUGUGCAGUGACAGAUUCUUCCACCAAUACUGCCUUCCUCCUCCUCACAGCCAAGAAAAAAAUUGUGAGCAAUACAAGAAAAGAAAGUCAUUCCAUUAUUUUUUUAAUAAUCAAACCCCACUCUCUCUUAACAUGAAAUGAAAAGUGAACAGAAGCCCGUGAUUGCCACUGACUUCGGUGGGCUCUGGCUCAGGUUCUUAAUGACACUGUCUGACUGAUACACAUUUUCCAGACACUGUCCUUCAUCCACCAAAUCAUUCUGUCAUUUUUCAGAAAAAAUCUGGGAUGUAAAGAACAUCUGCCACAACAAACAUAAAAAGCACAGGCUUGCUGUUACUAGUGGAAAGUAUUCUACAGGCUUGAAUUAAAGAAAAAAAAGUUUAUUAACUUUACAAGAAUACUUACUUUAAAUGUGAGUGUCAAUGACCCUUCUCACAUAAAGUUUUUCCAAAACAAUCUUGUUUUGGUCUCACUGAGAAAAAAACAACCUUCAGCUAGGCUGACAAAAUCUUCAGGAAUUGCUAUAGAAUACAUUCUACUAAAGGGGGUUCUAUAGCACUAUAGCAUUCUUUUAAAUUCUUUUUAGUUAUUAUCUGUACAAAAAAGAAGUUGAGCUGGUCUGGUUUGGAUUUGUAUGAAAAAUGAUAAUAAAAUAUAUAAAACCAGUAAGCGACAAAGAGAGGAAAUAAUUGCUAAAAUGUACUCUUUAUGCUUUUAAUAUUCUCUGUUAAAUAAUUGGGACAUUUAGAAAUCCAUUUGUUUCUUUUUUUGAUAUUCAUUAUCUCACUGAUUAGCACAAUGUGUAGCAAGGAUGAUAUAGAAUAUGUUUUUAUUAUCAUCACAGAUUUCAUAAUGAUUAAUCUGGUUUUAAUCUGUUUUUACCAGAUUAUGCAGGUUUUUGUUGAAAAAUAUAUUUUAAGAAUUUGAGCUGAUUUAAGAUCCAAUUUAUUGCAAAAGAAAAGGCAUCCAGUUAUGCUAGAGUUUCACUUCAUCAAGCCAUCUAUACAAAGUUUUUGCUUGUUAUUUAAUAAAACAGAAAAACAGUCAGCAACACUUGUCUUUGUUAAGGUAUGCUGCUGUUAGCAUACAGCAAAAAUGCUGGCACCUUGCCUGGAAAGUACAGCAACAACUGAUAGAUCUGAUCUUAUUCUGUGGCUCGGGAGAAAACAGACUACAGUGAAGGCCAGUCUUAAUGGCCUGCUACUGUCAAUUGCUUGGCAAGGACACACAAGUUUCUGAAAACAGAUAUGGGAAGUUGAACUGAUUUUGUAAGUCUGGGAAAGAGAUUUCACCUUCCUUAGUGGUAGUAGAGCCCCCAGAACAGUGCCUAUUAAAGUUAGACUUUCAGAAAUCUCUGUAUAAUUGUGUUUUAUACGCUACUGUAAAAAAAAAAAGUAUAAAUAUUUAAGAAAUAAUAGUGCUAAUUUAUUAUUUUACAGGUCAGUCUCAAUUUCAAUUAUUUCUUGAGAACUGGGAUGAAAUAUUGCAGCUGCAGGAUUUCUGAAAAGGAAGCCAUUUUUUUCCAUACUGCUGUAUUGCUGAGCCAGAUUUUUAGAGACAUAACCUGUUCCAUAUGAAAAAGAGAAUGGCAGAUUUUAUUUUAUUCUACACUAUUCUGUGCAAAGCUUGGGGUUAGAUAAGUUCUCAGUUUGGGAGGUUUUAGUGGUAGUGAGUGAAGAAGGAAUCUGCUGUCAUUGAGAUAGUUCAUAAACCAGAGAUCCUCAAGAGACUUGAACAACUCCAGUUCCAAACAUGGGCAAGACUUCUAGCUAGAAAACAUCACUCCAUCUUCUAUGAGCAAAUUUGUAUGAUAAAUAUUAUCCUAGAGCAGUCAUCAUUUUUAUGCUUAUGGGGAUUAAUUAGGCAUAUCAUGUUAUAACAAUGAUAGGGAGAAAUAGCAACAACCCUUUUAUUUAACUUAUUUAACAGAAAAUAUCCUAACUUUUAGAAAAUAACAGAGAAGCUCUUAUUUGCUACAGUCUCGGAAAUUUAGAAGGGACAGCAUUCUCAUUUUUUCUUUGUCUUCUUAAAUAUUUCAAAAGUUUAAUCUUAAUUUUUUUUUUUUAGUUCUGAAGAAAUUCCUUUCCCCUUCUCCAACCCCUUCCUAGAUGAAGGAGAAAGGGAGAAAUGAGAGAGCCUGGAUCAAACUGUCUCCCUUUAAUACUUCUACUGGAAAGGGAGAGAAAAACAAACAAAAAUGAGGCCAUUGGCAUUUUUCUCAUCGAACAGGAAAUGGAAUCAAAUUCCAGAAUGCUUUAAAUAUUUCCCAAACCCAGGAAAUUCUGUAAAAAUUAAAAUAUAAAAAUACUUUUCAAUUACACUGACAUGCUUUUUUUUUUAAAUAAGAACAUAAUGUCCCACCAUAAUGAUGUCUCCCUCGUCACAGUGAUGGUAGGGUACAGGUUUCACAUUAAAUCUCAAUACCUGUAUCAAAUUCUGUAAUUGUGCAACCACACAGUGAGCCAGAUUAGUUUGUUGAUCUGACAGAAAGCUACCCUACCAAAAAAAACAGGUGGCUCCAAGACUGACAGAUCCAGUGCAAGCACAGAGCAGGAACAUAGAGAUAGGAACACAUGGUGGGAGGAAGGCAGGGUCACCUGCCCAGCUCAGUAGCAGUCCAUAUCAGAUCAGAUUAGGAGCAACACACUUAGGCUGUGACUACAUGGCCAGUUCAGUUAGGCAUGUAAUGAAAAGAUACAGUCCCACUGCCCCCCUGCCAUUUGCUUCUUCUGGGUGCUUCUUACAGUCGCAUCCUGUGUGCUAGCAACAGCAAUGAGUUGGAAUUGAACCAGAUGAAAACAAACUUUCUGUUUUGUCUCUCUCCUACAGCCUCCCCUACUGUGCUGCUGGUACAUGAGUAGCCAAGGGCAAAGAAUGGAUGAAACUGCCCCUUUGAGGAGCACCUUGGACUUACUGUGGAUUAAAAUGGUUGUGUAAUUGUAGCCCUAACGAUUCCACAUAUGCUUUGCUGUUGUGUAAUAAAAUGAUAUCUGUCUGUGUCUGUA